rnacentral:lncRNA from 1 species
AUUCAGACUUUCCCCAUGAGAGUAGGUAAUCCCAGUCUAUGAGAAUUGAAAUCUGAAGUUCAGGAGACACUCACAUCUGGGUGUUAAAUGUCCCCAGAAAAACCAAGGUGGCAACUCAUGUUCUUGUUGGGAGGGUGGUUCCCGUUGUCAGAUAUCCAUGACCUUCCUUUGGGAAAGGAAGGACCAGCAGGGAGAAGGAGCUACUUAGAGACUCCAGCCUGCCAUGAGGAUGAAGGGGAGGAAGGAGAUACACAUGCUCGGAGUGGACCUAAUGGACAUUUCCACAGAGAUCAAAGAGCCAAGGCCUGGGAGCAAGCAGGACUCACGGCGGCUAGCCUUCCAAUGGAGGCUUUUGUUUUGUCUCCCUGCUCUUCAAAGGCGCAGGUCAGGAUUCUCCUGGUCUAGAGAGAGGGGAGCAAGGACAUGGUGCCUGGCAGCUCACAGACUACAACCACUACCAUCCAGCAGCUGGGGACGGGGACACAGGAGGUGUCCAGCACAGACAGUCUGCCACUGCUGCCUAGGACCAGAGUAAAGUGUCUGUGUCUCUAGAUAGCCUUUCACUCUGACUGGGCUGUGCAGGCCCCCUGGAAGCCCCAUCAGAGAUGGCCUACUUAGCUAGCGAGGCCUGGCUGGCUGCCAUGUAAGCAAAGGCUUCUAACAAGCUGUGGUCUCCACAGACUCACCUGAGACGCUAAACAUCUUCGCUCCAAGGACACCUUCCCUGUCUGUACCCAGGCGCGUGCGCUCACUCCAGGCCCCUCCUCCCUCCCACUCUCCUUCUCUUUCUUGGCAUAGAUUUGCCGGUCAAACUGAGAAAUAAAGGCCUCAGAUGUUCAAUGUGCUAAACUUUAUGACUGUUUUGAACAGAAAUGUGAACCUUCCUGUGGAUGAAUCUGGUGACCCAAAGUGAAGCCAAGGCAGUUUUAAAUCUUGAGCUUGGCCACUGUAAUUGCCAAAGUUUAUUUAGCCUGGAUGUCAGUCCUGCAUUUUGCACAUUAAAGUCUCCCAAUCCA